CUCUUAGAUGUUCUGGGCUGCACGCGCGCUACACUGACGCACGCAACAGGUGCCUGCUCCGAGAGGACUGGGUAAUCAUUUGAGUGUGCGUCGUGAUGGGGAUAGAAUAUUGUAAUUAUUACUCUUCAACGAGGAAUUCCUAGUAAGCGCCAGUCAGCAGCUUGCGCUGAUUACGUCCCUGCCCUUUGUACACACCGCCCGUCGCUCCUACCGAUGGGUGAUCCGGUGAAUGAUUCGGACUUCAGCGGCUCCCCUGGGGUGCGCCGGAGAAAGUUUUGUGAACCUUAUCACUUGGAGGAAGGAGAAGUCGUAACA
rnacentral:rRNA from 1 species